ACACUCCACGGAGGCAGCAGUGGGGAAUUUUGGACAAUGGGCGAAAGCCUGAUCCAGCAAUGCCGCGUGCAGGAUGAAGGCCUUCGGGUUGUAAACUGCUUUUGUACGGAACGAAAAAGCUCCUUCUAAUACAGGGGGCCCAUGACGGUACCGUAAGAAUAAGCACCGGCUAACUACGUGCCAGCAGCCGCGGUAAUACGUAGGGUGCGAGCGUUAAUCGGAAUUACUGGGCGUAAAGCGUGCGCAGGCGGUUAUGUAAGACAGAUGUGAAAUCCCCGGGCUCAACCUGGGAACUGCAUUUGUGACUGCAUGGCUAGAGUACGGUAGAGGGGGAUGGAAUUCCGCGUGUAGCAGUGAAAUGCGUAGAUAUGCGGAGGAACACCGAUGGCGAAGGCAAUCCCCUGGACCUGUACUGACGCUCAUGCACGAAAGCGUGGGGAGCAAACAGGAUUAGAUACCCUUGUAGUCC
rnacentral:rRNA from 1 species